ensembl:lncRNA
UCCCCAUGAGCUGCAAAAUAUAAAAAAGUGACCUUUAAUCCUUAAUUUUUGUCGUACGUUCUCGCAGCCAAAUCAGGGGAACCAAAAGAUUGUCAACACGGUCAAGGUGGAUCAAGAUGAUCCCCAACAGGGUUCAUGCCCCUAAAUCAGUACACACAAAUAUCGAGUCAACAAUUACCAGGAAGUUCAUUUUAAGUGCAACCACAAAAACAUGUCAAACAAAUGGUUAUUUUUUUCCCAGCUGCACGAGUUGGAAGAAAUACCUUCUGUGGGGGGGGAUCGGAGAUCCUGACACUUCGCAAGACGUUAGCAAGAAGGUAGCAAGACGUUAGCAAGAAGGUAGCAAGACGUUAGCAAGACGUUAGCAAGAAGGUAGCCAGACGUUAGCAAGACGUUAGCAAGACAUUAG